rnacentral:rRNA from 1 species
UACGUAGGGUGCAAGCGUUAAUCGGAAUUACUGGGCGUAAAGCGUACGCAGGCGGCUAUGUAAGACAGGUGUGAAAUCCCCGGGCUUAACCUGGGAACUGCAUUUGUGACUGCAUAGCUAGAGUCUGUCAGAGGGGGGUGGAAUUCCACGUGUAGCAGUGAAAUGCGUAGAGAUGUGGAGGAACACCGAUGGCGAAGGCAGCCCCCUGGGAUAAGACUGACGCUCAUGCACGAAAGCGUGGGGAGCAAACAGG